GUACAUUUAAUUAACCCCAUACACGCCAGACCUGAAGUACAUUUUAUUAACCCUACACAUUCCAAACUUGAAGUACAUUUUAUUAACCUUACACACGCCAGAUCUUUACAAAGUACAUUUUAUUAACCCCACACACGCCAGAUAUUUACAAAGUACAUUUUAUUAACCCCACACACGCCAGAUAUUUACAAAGUACAUCUUAUUAACCCCACAUGCCAGAUCUUUAACGAAGUAUAUUUUAUUAACCCCACACAUGCCAGACCUGAAGCACAUUUUAUUAACCCCACACAUGCCAGAUCUUUGCAAAGUACAUUUUUUAUUAACCCCACACACAUCAGAUCUUUACAAAGUACAUUUUAAUAACCCUACACACACCAGAUCUGUAACAAAGUAAAGUUUGUUACGCGAGAUCUCUAAUGAAGUACAUUUUAGUAACCCCACACACGCCACAUCUAUAACGAAGUACAUUUUAUUAGCCCUACACACACCAGAUCUUUACAAAGUACAUAUUAUUAACCCCACAC